ensembl:lncRNA
GCCGAAAGCCAGACACCUCCGGGCCGCGUGGCCCUGGGCAGCGAACGGGAUCGAGGGAGGCCCGGCUCGCCGAGCGCGGCCGGGCCUGGAGAGGCCCGGGGUGGAGGGCGCCAAGACCUCCGCGCCCCUCAGCCCACCCCCCAGGCCCCGUGCGCACGCACGCCUGGCAUGCCGCUGGGGGUCCCGGAAGCCCUCCGGGCUGCCGAACCUGGCCAGGCGUUUGCUGGCCGCGGGGUGGCAGUGUUCGGGGGCGUGGCGGCAUUGGCCGGCGGAGUCUGGUCGCGGGUCGUUCGGCUCAAGUACAGCGCGCGCCCCCAUGGUGAGGUGCGGCCUGCUGGCCCGACCGGCAGGUCAGAGCGAAAGGGAGGCACAGCGCAGGGCUCUUAGGGCGCCCGGCGGCAGCCGCCUCCUUCUACGGCCAUACCACCCUGAACGCGCCUGAUCUCAUCUGAUCUCGAGGGCUCACAUUUGAUGGUGGUCUUGUCAUCUCCUACCUCUUUCUCGUAAAGCUGGCAGCUGAGGGAAUGAGUUUACCUGCACGAAUUCUCCAGAUGUUUAUACAGCAUCCAGUAUACAACAAAGACUACAUUUUGAACUCGAUGGAAUCUUUACUCUGUUAAUACUUGUUACAUGGACCCGAAGAUAUUACAGGGUUUUUAAUUAGUGAAAAAUUCAUGAAUACCAUAGAGAAAAUAUUUUAGAAUUUAAUGUUUCUGAUAUUUAUGUAAACUUAUGACUUCAUUUAUAUAAUUCCUUCCUUUUUCUUGUAUAUUCAGGCUAUGAAUAUCCUUUCAGAUCAAUUUCAUGUUCUGAUACCUGAUUUCAGUCUUUCAAAUGAAUGUACUGUAGUGCUUGUCUGUAUAAAUCCUAUGAACAAACACAGGGCUUUUGUAAAUGAUGCAUUUAUUGUAAUUAUUCUUGUUUAAUUUUUCAAUGUUAAACCAUGAGAGAAGGGGUUUUCCUGCGAUUGUAAAAUCAUCAUGACACGGUGUGCUUUAUUAUCCUUCCAGAAUGUAACCAAGCUCUCCAACAAUCACUCUGAAAUAAGCAAACUUAAUUUCAACCAAUUGUUGUUGGAUGUUAACGACUGGCCUAAACUGUACUUUUUCUAGCAAGAAAUGCUUUUUGUCCACAGCGUGAAGUGAUUUAAAAGUACUGGGUGUUAAAUGUGAGCUUCUAAUGAAAUUUGGGCUGAAAGGAUGCCUAGAAGAAGACUGAAAAUCUCUCCUGUAACCCAGUCUCUGUGGACCCGGAUCCCUCCUCUCCGGUGAGACUCUUUGGGGACCAAUCGCGAUGCCCUGCACCCGCUGCAGAGCCAUCGAGCUGGACAGUGAAGGUGCCACUUCCCAGACAGACAGGGUAGUGUAGCUCUGACAAAGGCCUUAUUUUUAUGGAAAUCAUCUUUUUACAUGAUUGUAAACAUGUUUAAAGAAUGGACCUAGGCGUACAUUUUUAGAUUGUGAUGACAUAGC